rnacentral:lncRNA from 1 species
ACCCUAACUCCAGCUAGGGGAGGGCGAAGCCACCUGCACCUGGGAGGCUGGCGCUGCCUAAGCGGGUCAGCUCCUGGGAAAUCCAGAAACUCUAGAGAAGCUUGUUUGCCAAACCUUGCUUUGGGCGGUGGAGACAGAAUAUCAUGUCCCAGAUCAGCGUGUGGUGACUGUGGAGGCAUUUACACACAGCACACUCCAGCUCUGCCACUGGGCCGGCUGAGGUGGCUGCGGUACACGGCGCCCAUCCUGAGCCCCAGGUUCCUCACAUGUCAACAGCAUGAAAAGUGCCUCUAAGACAUCCACAGGUGUGCAGUGUUAAAGCAGGCAGCGCCUCAGCUUGGUUAGCUCCCUUAAGGACUGCGGCUCCCUUAGGACAAGGCUCUGUCCCUCAGAGCACUGAGUGCGAUCUCAUGCUGGCAUCUUAGAGACAUUGUAUUCACCAGGUAAGAUGGAUUCACAUCUGCUGGGUGCACGAACACUUCCUCCUUCCUUGCCACCAGCCAGCAUCACAACCAGCCUGGCCAGGCUCCCGUCCCAGCCCAGCCUAGCAGCUAACCCCAGCUCCAUCCCCCAGCAAGCCCCUCUGCCUGCACCUCAGCUUCUUCAUGGAAGACGAGUCAGGUCAUGAUGCCACCAGGGAGCGUGUUUCCAUGUUGAACUGAGACACUAAGCCCUUGACAAAUGUUGGCCAAGAAAAAAAAGGGGCUCCAAGAGGGGAGCUGUGGCUCAGGUAGAAGACGGUGAAUGAGCAUUGCCUGAAUCAGAGUUAGCUACUCUGGUUACACAGGUGUCCCCGGCAGGUUGGUCAAAAGCCCUUCCCUGAGUCCCGUGAUAAGUGUGGGGAGGGAGGCAAAUCAAAGACCCCUACACACCUCCUGCAUGGAUGGCCAGAGCGCUGGUCCCACCUCCUUCCUUCCAAACUGCAACCCCGAUCAGCACAGCAGAGAAGUCUCCUGUGGCAGGGACCAGUAAUUCAGUGCUUCCCCUGGAGAGUCUGGGAUUGCACAGAACACCAGAGGCUGGGGAUUUAUUUGUUCACCAACAUUCAUUCAACAAACACUUACUGAGGCCAACACUGGGAAUGGAGACGAACUUCCCUGUCCUCAUGGAGCUUGCUUUCAAAAGGGAAGGAGGCAGACAGUAAACAAAACAAGCAAGUCAAUAUACAGCAUGAUGCAGAAAAGGUGUGAUGCCACCCUCUUGCCUGAGUUUAUAACAAGCAGAUGAUGUUGUCCUAAGAAUUAAUUUCAGCCGGUGAAAGAGUACAGGCAAAAAACGUGGUCUCGGACUUUCCGGUGAUGCUUAAGAACAUAGUUGCAGUUUUUGUUCUGAUUCUUUGUGCAUCUCGCGCUAAUGAAGGAUUCUGCCAUGAUUGCCACCUCUGGAGACGUCACAGCCAGCACAGCCAUGACCAGGGAUGAACUUGGCCAUUGUCCAGCAGCACCAUGGGAGGACCAGCUGCUGUAAGUGAAGGUCAUCAUCCAUCUGAUUUGCUGGCUUUUUGCAACUACUGCGGUGGAAGUCUUAGAGUAGCCACCUUCUCUGUACUCAGACCUUCACUUCGCCAGAUGUCAGCACAGCAGUGUCAGCAGCUUCGUCAAACACAAACACCACCACCUCUCUGGAUCAGAAGCACAUGGAAAGCCCACCUUGCAAGAAGACCCAGCUAUUCCAAAAGUACCCAUAUCCCUGUAGCAUCCUCUUAGCUGAAUGUCUCUACUCCUUAAACUUGUACCACUUUGAAGAGUAAAAAUUUAAAUUCA